rnacentral:tRNA from 1 species
AAGAAAUUAGUUAAAUUAAUAAUACAGGUUUGUCAAGCCUGAGUUACUAUGUAAUUAGUAUUUUUU